rnacentral:rRNA from 1 species
GCUCCAAUAGCGUAUAUUAAAGUUGUUGCAGUUAAAAAGCUCGUAGUUGAAUUUCGGGCCCCCCCCGGCGGGCGCUUCAUUGUGCCUCGGGUGGUCCUCCUCGCCGUCAGGCGUCCUUUACUGUGAAAAAAUUAGAGUGUUCAAAGCAGGCAAUCGCUUGAAUACAUUAGCAUGGAAUAAUAAGAUAGGAUCGUGUCUAU